UAAGAAGUGAGAAUGCCGGUAUGAGUAUCGAAAAGAAAGGUGAGAAUCCUUUCCACCGAAAGCCCGAGGGUUCCUGAGCAACGAUCGUCGUCUCAGGGUAAGUCGGGACCUAAGCCGAGGCACAGACGCAUAGGCGAUGGACAACAGGUUGAAAUUCCUGUACCGGAUGGAGUCAUUUGAGCAAUGGAGUGACGCAGGAGGGCACAUGAUCGCGCGACUGGAAGAGCGCGUCCAAGUGUGUAUGUUGAAUCGGAGGCAAAUCCCCGAUUCUGAAAGCAGAGACAUGAUGGGGAGUUAUAAGCGAUUAUGACGAACUCAUGGAUCCCACACUGCCAAGAAAAACUUCUAGCGAGACGAAAUCCGCCCGUACCGUAAACCGACACAGGUAGGCGGGGAGAGGAUCCUAAGGUGCGCGGGAAAACCCUCGUUAAGGAACUCGGCAAAUUGCAUCUGUAACUUCGGGAGAAGGAUGGCCCUGAGUAGGCGAAGUGCAGAAACGCACGGAACAGAAAAGGGUGGCAGAAAAGAGGCCCAAGCAACUGUUUACCAAAAACACAGGUGCCUGCGAAAGCGAAAGCUGAAGUAUAGGUGCUGACGCCUGCCCGGUGCUGGAAGGUUAAGGAGAGAGGUUAGCGCAAGCGAAGCUUUGAACUGAAGCCCCAGUGAACGGCGGCCGUAACAAUAACGGUCCUAAGGUAGCGAAAUUCCUUGUCGGGUAAGUUCCGACCCGCAUGAAAGGCGUAAUGAUUUGGGCGCUGUCUCAACGAGGGGCCCGGUGAAAUUGAAAUACCUGUGAAGAUGCAGGCUACCCGCGACUGGACAGAAAGACCCCAUGGAGCUUUACUGCAGCUUGAGAUUGAAUCCCGGUGGCAGACGCACAGGAUAGGUGGUAGGCUUUGAGAUAGUGACUUUGGUUGCUAUGGAGCCGACGUUGGGAUACCACCCUUCUGUUGCUGGGAUUCUAACGCGAAGAUUAACAACCUUGCGGACCAUCUCAGGUAGGCGGUUUGACUGGGGCGGUCGCCUCCGAAAGAGUAACGGAGGCGCCCAAAGGUUCCCUCAGGCCGGACAGAAACCGGCCGAAGAGUGCAAAGGCAGAAGGGAGCUUGACUGCGAGACAGACAAGUCGAGCAGAGACGAAAGUCGGGCUUAGUGAUCCGGUGGUACUGCGUGGAAAGGCCAUCGCUCAACGGAUAAAAGCUACCCUGGGGAUAACAGGCUAAUCUCUCCCAAGAGUUCAUAUCGACGGGGAGGUUUGGCACCUCGAUGUCGGCUCAUCACAUCCUGGAGCUGGAGUAGGUUCCAAGGGUUGGGCUGUUCGCCCAUUAAAGUGGUACGCGAGCUGGGUUCAAAACGUCGUGAGACAGUUUGGUUCAUAUCCAUCGCGGGCGCAAGAAGUUUGAGGGAGGCUGCUCCUAGUACGAGAGGACCGGAGUGGACGGAUCAACGGUGUACCAGUUGUCACGCCAGUGGCACGGCUGGAAAGCCGCAUCCGGAAAGGAUAAACGCUGAAAGCAUCUAAGCGUGAAGCCCGUCCCAAGAUGAGACUUCUCAUCAGCAAUGAGUAAGACCCCUUAAAGACGAUGAGGUUGAUAGGCUGUGAGUGGAAGAGCCGCGAGGCUUGGAGCGACGCAGUACUAAUAGGUCGAGGUCUUAACU
rnacentral:rRNA from 1 species